AAACUGUAAACAUGGCCGGAAAAUACAAUUGGUGUGUACCGUCAACUACAAAAUUAAUAUAGAUGUGUGAAGCUGACGAGGCGAUUUACAACGUGAGGCACCCUGAAUACAAAAAUAGAUUAAGAAGAUGAGAGAGCUAUAAAAAUAUUGCAGAGAUAAUUAGCCGUGAGAUACGGCGUGGUUGCACGGCAGUAGACAUUAAGAAGAAAAUUAAUUUCAUCCGCGCACCCACGAGAAAGCAAAAAUGCUUAUAAGCUUUAUAUUCCGCAAGUGUACUGGUUCCACAUGCUAAAGUGGAGCAAUGUCGAGAGUUCGGAAAGUGGCAGUGAACGUGGUACACCAACGUUCGAAGAAAUGUUUGAGCAUGAAAUGCAGGCUCAAGAAGAGCCUGUUGUCACAUGCAGUGAGGCACAGCCACAGCUCCAGCAUUAAGAGCUCUCCCACAAAGAGAAGGCACAACCAAUUAAUUUUGUAGUUUCUUGACUCAAAAUGUAAUUGAUUUGUUUAUAAAAUAAAAAUAGU